UUCUUGUUUUCGCCAAGUGUGGGCAGGUGCUUUCUCACUGAUUGUUUGCAUUUCCAUCUCACUUUGGGUAGGAGUUCUGGCUGCUGGCCAGCUGUCUGUGGUUCCAGGCUGUUCGGGCAUAUCUCCUGGAGCAGGAAUCAGUGUUCGGCACUCUCCCCUUUCACAUCACACCACCUCAGCUGCUGGGCUGCACGGUUAGAACAACUAUGCAUCUUUGACACAGUGUCACGGAAACCUUUUUCAGAAGUCUGCUUGGAAGGAACUCAUUGUUCUAGCACUCAUGUGCUCCAGUUGUUUGAUAAAAAAGAAAAAGCUCUCUGUUGCAUAAAGAUACAAAUUAGACUGAAAUACAUAAACAUUAUCAAAAACUUGAUUUCUCUUCUGAUUCCUGUUUAUAUUACACUGGUGUGUGGUACGUAUACCUUGUAUACCUUUUACAUAUACAUGAAUAAAAUGGCAGGUGAAGAUACCUAUUCCCAUUUAAUGUUUAUUAUGAAAGUGAUUGUAACAAAUUUUUUAUUACAUGCUUCAUUUUGAGCUUUGACAUACAAAACAAAGCUAUUAAUAUACAGAGGCAAAAGGAAAUGUAUUUUCUUAUAAGGUACAUUUACAACAACAUUUUCUACUAUGAAUCUGACAGUAGUGUUAAAAUAUUGGUAAAGCUUAGAUCACUGUAUUUUAGUUUCUAAGUAUCAAAUUUUGUACAGUUAUUCACUGUCUUUACUCUAAACUACCACGGUACACUUCAUACGGGAAUAGCUGUUUGUACAUAAUUUACAUUGAUAAUAAAGCUUAGAAGUCCCAGCA
rnacentral:lncRNA from 1 species